UACGUAGGGUGCGAGCGUUGUCCGGAAUUAUUGGGCGUAAAGAGCUCGUAGGCGGUUUGUUGCGUCUAUCGUGAAAACCUGCAGCUUAACUGUGGGCUUGCGGUGGAUACGGGCAGACUUGAGUUCGGUAGGGGAGACUGGAAUUCCUGGUGUAGCGGUGAAAUGCGCAGAUAUCUGGAGGAACCCCGGUGGCGAAGGCGGCAUCCUGGACCAACACUGACGCUGAGGGAGCGAAAGCCAGGGGAGCAAACGGG
rnacentral:rRNA from 1 species